rnacentral:tRNA from 1 species
UUUUGGUGGCCGAUUUUAAGCGAAAAAUUGUAAAUUUUUUUAAGAUAUAUUCCCGAAGUA